GACGAACGCUGGCGGCGUGCCUAAUACAUGCAAGUCGAGCGAAUCAAUAGGAGCUUGCUCCUGUUGAUUAGCGGCGGACGGGUGAGUAACACGUGGGCAACCUGCCUGUAAGAUCGGGAUAACUUCGGGAAACCGGAGCUAAUACCGGAUAAUCCUUUCCUACACAUGUAGGAAAGCUGAAAGUCGGUUUCGGCUGACACUUACAGAUGGGCCCGCGGCGCAUUAGCUAGUUGGUGAGGUGACGGCUCACCAAGGCGACGAUGCGUAGCCGACCUGAGAGGGUGAUCGGCCACACUGGGACUGAGACACGGCCCAGACUCCUACGGGAGGCAGCAGUAGGGAAUCUUCCGCAAUGGACGAAAGUCUGACGGAGCAACGCCGCGUGAGCGAUGAAGGCCUUCGGGUCGUAAAGCUCUGUUGUUAGGGAAGAACAAGUAUCGGAGUAACUGCCGGUACCUUGACGGUACCUAACCAGAAAGCCACGGCUAACUACGUGCCAGCCGCCGCCGUAAGAC
rnacentral:rRNA from 1 species